ACUCAACGAGGGCGGAACAGGCGGCCGCCACGCCAGAGAUGGUCUUUUAAGAGAUGCGUGAGUGCCAACACGCCGUUGAGU
rnacentral:ncRNA from 1 species